rnacentral:snRNA from 1 species
CUAACUUUCUUUACCAAACCGGCUUAGAUCAAGUGUAGUAUCUGUUCUUCUCAGUUUAAUCGCUGAAGCCGUCCACAAGUUGGACAUCAAUCACACGAUUUAAAUCCCAAUUUCUACAACCGGAAUCCCGGGACACUCGCUGGGUGCUUGCCCGCAGUUUGUCCUGCGACAGGGGUGUCUCUGGUAUCACACUGCUUCCAGAUGACGCCAGUCGGCG